rnacentral:lncRNA from 1 species
GACAUUUCACUUUAUUUAAAAGAAGCCAAUAUACAGGAUAUAAAGGGCAUGAUAUUUACAACAGUACAGUAAACAGGUUGGUUUCCGGUAGGAUCAGUAGUCUUUCAAUGAGUAUAAACCCUCCCCCUUUCCCCUUGACACUAGACCCAAUGGGCAGACAAACAGCAACAGUGGGGUGGGAUGGGACUGCGGGAUACAAAGUCUCCCUGGAUGGGGCUAAAAAUCAGGUAGAUGCUAAAAUGUCCACGAAGGGGUCUUGCUGGGGGUGGGGAUGGUGCCUGGCUUCGUUUCUUUGAGGGCCGGGCAGUGGGAAUGGUGGGGGAUUCGCCCAAGACUAACACACAGGCCACCCCGAACCUGGAAAUCCUCCACCCAAAGGGAAGCUCCCUUUCAGAGAGAAUUUGCCUUGACCCAUACCCACCCAGCUGCCCCCAGACUCCCCCGUGCCAGGAGGAUGCCCUUCUAGAACCAGAGCUCGGUGUGCCGAGAUGGUCAACCCGGGUCUGAGGAAGCCCCAGGUGCCCAGUCCCUGCCCCAGGCCCUGGAGGAGCACACCAAGGGCUGCAGCCCGGACCUCGGCCUGGAGCAAGCACAGCUGGGGCUGGGUGAUGGGCGUCUCCUGGAGCACUCCCAUUCCUGCUCCAGCUGCCUGACAGCCUGGGACCCCGCAGCCUGGGACCCUGUAGGGCCCAGGCCCCAAGGGAGCCGCAUACUCCCUGAACCAACAGUCUCAUGGCCACCCACAGUCCGCUGCUUCUCAGCCUCCCCCAGACACAGCCAACUCGGAAAUGGAUCUUGGCAGACCAGAGCCCACCCUCUGAAGCAGAGCUCAUCCCCCACCCGGUGCCCCAUCUCCCAUCCUCCACCCCCCUCCCCGACCUUGAUUCUGAAUCCCUCACCACCCACCCACUCCCCCGAGUUACCCCCCCCAUCAAAGACUUUCAAGGACCAAGGAGCUGGGGGGGGUGGUGGUGGAGGAACAAGAAAGUGGGGUGAGGUGGGACCUAGGCUCUGCCGAAGCCGCUCAUGGGUGCAGGUGACCUGGCAGUGAGGCCAGGGGGACGGGAGGGGCACUGGUUAUAUUCAGUCCAGCAGCAACAUGCAUCUUGUUCACAGGAGAACGCGGGGCUACCGUAACUGCCUACCCUAGAUUUAAAAACCCUUUCCUUUCAUAAAAAUAGAUGAGAAUCUCUUGCUUUAUAAAUAGAUUACAUUUAGCUUAAGUUACACCAUACAGUACCUGCCACCCCACACCCUCUCCCCCAUUCCAAGCCAAAGUGGUUUGCUUCUCUGUAGGUCAGAGCUCAGUCCGCGAUGGGCUGGCCCUUCGGAGACCUCAAGGUAUAUUGCUACAAGAAAACAAGAGGUGUUCACUUGCCAAUGAUUUUUUUUUUCCCCUGUUUGGAGUCUCAGAGGUGCGUGCGCGCGUGCGUGCGUGCGCGUGUGUGUGAUCCACAACCAGGGAGGUGAAAGGAAGCUACUUCUCCCUGCCUCUCCCCAAUCCUCUCUUUUUAUAAAACCCCCCAAAAUAGGAGAGUGAGAGAGGGCAGCGCAGGAGAGCCCAUCUGAGAACGACCUUAAAAUACCAAUGUCAAUAUGACACUGGGCUUAGAAAUAGAAAUUUGAGUAUUUACAGCUUUACAAAGGACGGACCAGUUCUUCCCAACUGGACCUGGUGCUGCCCCAGCGAGCGUUGGGGGCUUUCUUGGCAAGCUGUGGGCUCAUGGCGAGGGCACAAGCAGGGCCCACUGGCAACAAACUCAAAAAAAAGAACUUGGUGGGGAGAAAGGCAGCCAGGCCCAGACCUGGGCUCCCCGCCUCCCACCACUAGCCCCUGCCCAGGAGGCAGGUCUGCUGCACGCCCAUCCACCUGCCCCAAAUCCCUGCUCCCCAGGGGAGCACAGCUAUAGGAAAGCAGCAGGAAGGGGCUGCAUGGCCAGCGUCCAUCUGGCUCCUGCCACUUCCAGACUCCCUGGACAAACUAGAGCACCCUAGUCCCCGAGACAAACAUCCUAUGUACACGAAGGGGGAAGCAUAAAUAAUACCACCGGACACCGACUGCCACGGUCACCUGGGUUAUUACCCCCCCCCCCCCAAUACUUACACUGUCGCCUUAUGUCUUAACACUAAAGAUAGGUCUGUCACCCUCCCCACCACCUUGAGAACCACCCCGGGGCCGGCCUCUGCUCUGCCUCCCACACCACACCUUCAAUCACACCCUCCCCCCCAGCCCUGGACAGAGGAAGCCCGAGGGGUUCCUCCCAGAAACGGAAAAUCUUUCCAGCAGCUGAGGUCCAAGCUUUUUUUUUCUUUUUCCCCCCGCUUUUAAUUUUUCUGGGCUCUGAUCAACACUUUGGUUUAAAAUGAAACUAAAACGAAAACAACAAUAACGCUAAUGACAAGAAUAGUCAGCUACGUUUGAACCCUGUAACCUUUAGAAGAAGGGUCAGUGAGGAGGAGGGGAAGGGGCUGGCUCUCCUCUGAAGCCACCGUCCCUCCACGUACCUGCCCAGGGACUGUCUGGCUGCCAGACUGCCACAGGGAACCAGCAGGUUCCCUCAACACCACCACCAGAAAUAAAAAGGAAACAAACUCACAAUAAAGGCCACCAAGUGCUGAUAAAUAAAAAUCACAUACAGUCACUAACACACGCACGCUCUCUCUCCAUAUAUAUAUAUAUAUGGAUACUAUAUAUAUAUAAUAUACACAUCGUAUUAUAUAUAUAUAAUAUGAAUAUUAUGUACAAUGGUCUUAAGACUGCAAAACAGGUGGGGAAACGGAAGAGAGAGAAGGCCCUUACAGGUCGCUGGUACCCUGAGGAAGAAAGACAGGGGGCUGCAAUCUGAUGGAAAGCCAGAGCCCCCCAUCCUCUGCCUUCCGCAGGAGAGCAGGAGGUGGGAAGUUCUGGGAAGUUCUGGUCCUCGGGCACGUGUCCCUUCUUUGACCUCCAGGGGGCGCUCCUGGGCCAGUCAAGAAACAAAAAUGGGCAAUCCCACCCACAGGAGUGGGUACAGAAAAAAAUCAUUAAAAAAAAAAAAAAAAAAAAAAGCAAAACCCGCUCGGCUAGCUCCAAGCUGAGAUUUGGCAGGUGGCCUCAACCCAGUGCCUUGUGACACAGGCCCACCUAAGUCUUGGGGAGAUACUGGCUCAGAUGAACUCCCCACUGGUCGGUCAAUCAAGUGAAGUAAUGGAAACAGGCUUGCAUGUGUCCAUGAGAACAAAGGAUGGCUCUCACUCCAGCUCGGCUCCUGCCACACCUCUGAUCCGCCGGCCCUCGCUGCCCCCCACGGCUCCCCUUCCCUCUCCAGGGCCUGCCAGUGGCCCAACGGUGGGCGACCCCAUGAAGACGGCGGCAGGCAGUGGAAACCCAGCUCUGCUGUGGAGGGGGUGGACGCCAGGCCUAGCCCCCUUCAGACUUUCUCACAGAGAAAUUACAGAUCUCUAGCCCCUUAUCACUGGCUGGGAAGGGAGAGAAAGAAACAUCAAGUCAUCAGGGCACUAAAAGACCCCUCCCACCGCACAGAGGUCCCCAGAAAGCAAGCAGUCCGGUGAGCCAUGGCCUUGCAGGCUUCCCCCACCCCCAGCCUCACCAUCGACCUUGACAAACGGCCCCCUUCCAGCGGGUGCUCACCCUCGGGGGGCUGCCUCGGCCUCCCUCCCAGCUCCAGGGCAACACCAGGAGUCUGGGCCGAGGGCCGACCUUACACAAUGAUAUAAGGCAAGCUGCUUUUUUUGUUUGUUUGUUUUGUGGGUUGUUUUUUUUGUUUUUUUGUUUUUUUGUUUUUUUUUUUUUGCAUAGUAGUUUAAACACAGUGAGAUUCCACUUUCCCCCACGGUGCCUUGUCCCUCCGCUUCGCCACUCGAUCCAAAAAAGAAAAUAAAAUUUUGUCUGCCCUCCCUCCUUCCAUCUUUUCUCUCAGUCAGUAAGUAAGUAAAAAAACACUUGGGGUGGGGGGUGGGGGUCGGGGUAACCCCACACACACACCGCCCAGGCCUGGAAAGGUUGCACAGGCAAACAGCUCCUUCCUGGGGUGCGGGUGGUGGGGGGUAGUGGACCACCCCAAGGUCAGCACUGGCCAGGCAGAGGCGGGGAGGGCAGAGCUCAUGGCCAAUCAGAGGAGCAGGUGGGAGGGUAGACAUCCACAUGAUCCCACGCCAGGGGCCCCGCCCUCACCUUAGAGUUUUGUAUAAAAACACCUGCUAGGAAGAAUUCUUUGGAGCUCAAAGUGGCUCAGCUUAAGGGAAAAGGCACAGU